rnacentral:rRNA from 1 species
UACGAAGGGUGCAAGCGUUACUCGGAAUUACUGGGCGUAAAGGGUGCGUAGGUGGUUUGUUAAGUCUGCUGUGAAAUCCCCGGGCUCAACCUGGGAAUGGCAGUGGAUACUGGCAAGCUAGAGUGCGGUAGAGGGUAGUGGAAUUCCCGGUGUAGCAGUGAAAUGCGUAGAGAUCGGGAGGAACACCAGUGGCGAAGGCGGCUACCUGGACCAGCACUGACACUGAAGCACGAAAGCGUGGGGAGCAAACAGA